rnacentral:tRNA from 1 species
GGGGGUAUAGUUUAUUUGGUAGAAUGCCGACGUAGCAUGUUGGAUGGCUUGGUUCGAGUCCAAGUAUCUCCA